UCCUACGGGAGGCAGCAGUGGGGAAUUUUCCGCAAUGGGCGAAAGCCUGACGGAGCAAUACAGCGUGAGGGAAGACUGCCUAUGGGUUGUAAACCUCUUUUUUCAGGGAGGAAUAAAUGACGUGUACCUGAAGAAUAAGCAUCGGCUAACUCCGUGCCAGCAGCCGCGGUAAGACGGAGGAUGCAAGUGUUAUCCGGAAUCACUGGGCGUAAAGCGUCUGUAGGUGGUUUAAUAAGUCAACUGUUAAAUCUUGAGGCUCAACUUCAAAAUCGCAGUCGAAACUAUUAGACUAGAGUAUAGUAGAGGUAAAGGGAAUUUCCAGUGGAGCGGUGAAAUGCGUAGAUAUUAGAAGGAACAUCAGUGGCGAAGGCGACUCCCUGGCCAAAGACUGACGCUCAUGUGCGAAAGUGUGGGUAGCGAACAGGAUUAGAUACCCUGGUAGUCCACACCGUAAACGCUGUCUACUAGCUGUUUGUGAGUUUAACUCGUGAGUAGCGAAGCUAACGCGCUAAGUAGACCGCCUGGGGAGUACGGCCGCAAGGUUAAAACUCAAAUGAAUUGACGGA
rnacentral:rRNA from 1 species